CAGUUAUCUUCCUUUUUUAUAAAUUAUAAAAAUUUAAUUUGGUUAUUUAUUUGCUUAUUUUGUACCCUAAAAAGCAAAUUUUGAAUGUUCCUGAAGUUGAGAUGUAGUCAUUGCAAAAGGGUGAAGUGCCUGAUGAAUCAAGUAGGUAAUUCAACUGCCUUUAUUCAUUCACAUAUGAAUGUAUUGGUUCCACAAAUGUCUGUUUAGUAUCUCCUAUGCCUAAAUCUCUAUUCCAGGUGUUGGUCCACACAGACAGAUGUACUGGACAAGGAUACUGCCCUCAAGAUGUGAAGAUCCAUGGACACCAUAACACGAAACCAUCAUAGACUGGAAACAUUAAUGAAGAUCAGCAACAGGUAAACUCAGAGGCUCACAUCCUCAAAUUUGUGAUUGAAAUGUCAAGCCCUCACAAAGCAUAGAAACAGAAGCUGGAAAUUAUCUGGUGGCUGGAGGACAAUGGGAUAAAGGCCAGAAACUGGAAGAUCAUAUAAUCCUCCAUACAGAUUUCUGUGUUGGCUAUCUCAAGGUCGCUGCUUAAUUUUGUUGUCUUUUCUAAUUUAUUUACUCAAAAAAGGUCACUUCAAACUCAAUGUCUGCUUAGUGGUGACAUACUGACUUUUAGCAGAAUUUCCAACUGGAUUGACUAAAGCUUGAGAAGGUCAAUGACAAUGAGUCAAAGGCCUUGGCCACACUGAAGUGGAGACUGCAUUUAGCUCUCACUGCUUUUUGCUUUUAUUAAUCACAUCCACUAUUUGUUUAGCUUAAUACUGUGAUUCAUCAGACAAAAUUCCUUAUGUUAGGCUGAAUGAUUAAAAGAUUCAAUACUCCUUCCCAUCUAACUUCUGCUAUAACCAAACUGUAAUCAAAUUUCAAUUAAACAAUAUCCAUUGGAAAAAAAGAAAGUUGAUUUUAUGUAAGAGUUGAUUAUCCCUUGAGAAGUGGCCACUCUACCUCUCUGAGUCCAUGUGGUUUGAGUAAUUCCCACCCAAUUCUGGCAGCUGAGUGGGUGAAGAAAGAUGAGACAUAGGACCCAGCCUUGCUCAAUCAGCGUUUUCCAUUCCAUGGUCAUACCAAUGGCUUCAAAGAUGGGUAUAUGACCCACACGAGGCAAUUAUACUCGAUUUUAGGACUUUUGCUGAAACUUUUGGAAACGCAGCUGCAUAACAGGAUGGCGAAAUGUAAUCUUGGAGCAGCUGAUCACCAUCCUGCCCCCAAAUGGAAAAAGACUGCCCAAGAAGUCUCUUGGGCACACACGUGACACACACACACGCACACACACACACACACCAGGGCAAAAAGAUAUAGAAAAAUCCCUAUAAUGCUACUUGAGUCCAUAGAUUGAGCUGACAUUAUGUCUAACCCUGAGUCUCUUGAAUUAUAAAAGACAGUGGAUUUUUAUCUUUUUUUUUUCCCUUGGGCCAGAUUAAGGAGGAGAUUCUGUUUAUUGAAAGCAGAAAAAUUCUGACUAAUAACUAAAAUAAUUUUAGCUUUUAUCCUUUUUAAAAAUAUUUCUAAGUGAAGAUUUCUACUUUGCUGCCAUAAUAAAUAUUAAUAUCAUAAAUUGUCUUACAAAGUUAGGAUCUUACACAGGAUAAAAUCCUAUAUCUCAAACUGAUAGAUGAGGGAGGAGGAGGAGAUUGGCUCCAGUUUUUUUCUGUUUUUCUUUUUCUUAGUUCUGAAGCAGCUCUGGAAGUAAGGACUUUUGAAAUAAAUAUCAGGCAUGCAUUUAUUUCUAGUCACUUUCCAUUUUCUAUAACAAUUGAAGAGAUUAAAAAAUGUUUAUACAUCAACAUAUAAUUGCUAAAUAGCUUUUCUGAAUGGUAGGAACAGAGGUAAUUUUGUUAAUAGUUCUUGAAAGCCUAUCUUCUUGUUAAGCAAAGCUAGUUUACAAUGAACCUGAUCUCUCCUCUAAGCAAUGUGAUCCCACCCAUGCCUCAACUUCCUAAAAGCUAGAUAGACAGACCCCUGUCAUAUCUAAUUUGGUGAAAAAGAAAUUAGAAGAAGAUAUAGUACCAGCCAAUCACCUUGGGUCAUAUAAAAGAAGUGACCACUCUACCUCUCUGAGUCUAGGUGGUUUGGGUAAAUCCCACCCAAUUCUGACAGCUGAGUGGGUGAAGAAGGAUGAGACAUAGGGCCCAGCCUUGCCCAAUCAGCAUUUUUCAUUCCAUGAACUUAAUUCCAUUAAGCCAUACUGAUGGCAUCAAAGAUGACCAUAAAUCUUUUUUCUAGGCAACCAAACCAACAAUUGAAAACCAAAUCAUCAACAAGACAAAAAAGAAGAAAGAAGCUGUCUGAGAUAAUUAUUUGGAUGUUUGAUCAUAUAAAUGUAACAGAAGCACAGAUUCCCUGACCCUCAGUGGCCUCAGGGACCAUCUGGCAAUGCCUUCAUUCUACUUUUUCUCACUCUAUUUUUCAGCAGCAGCAGAAAAAUCUUUAAAUCAAAUCAAAUCAUUACAUAUCCCUAUUGACAAAGACCCAACACUUUCCCACUAUGCUUAGGAUAAAGUAAAAUAUCUUCAACUGAAUCUAUUAGACAAUACAUGUUCUGCCUCAUGCCUACCCAUUUUCUGCCUCUCUCUAGACUAUCUGAUGGUUUUAUUCUCUGAUUUUUCUCAUUUUCUAACACGUCAAGUUCCUUCCAGCCUCAGGCCUUCUUUAUCUGUUGCCUUCUCCGUUUUUAAUUUUUUUUAGCCAUUUUUCACCUGGUUAAGUCCAACUCCUCCCAUGAAUCUCAACUUACAAUUUACUUAGAAAUUUUCUUUAGCAUGGAUAAAAUAAUUUAGAUCCCUCUUAUAUUUUAAUUCAACAUUCUCUAUUUCCAUUCCCAACAUUUUAUAUAAUCUUUAAUUAUAUAUUUAACAUGUACAUUUUCUUUAAAUAUUUGUUUUCCCACUAGUCUUUAAGCUAUGAGGUCAGGGGCUGUGUUUGUUUUAUAACAAGCUGAAAGUUCUGAUGUACGGUAUGUGUUCAAUGAAUUUGUUCAAAGAAUUAUCAAAUAACUGAGAAUAUCUAAGUAUCUUGCCCUUAGAGCUAAAAAUUUGUUGAUGUUUCCAUAUUUUGACCCAUAGUGUCUUAGUUUGAUUUUCUAUAAUAAAAUACCAUAUAACAUUUAUAAAGUAGCUUAUAAACAACAGAAACUUAUUUCUCACAGUUUUGAAUACUGCAAAGUCGGAAAUCAAGGCAUGGGCAGGUUCAGUGUCUGGUGAGGGGUCAUUUCUUGGUUCACAGAUGGCUGUUUUCUCCCUGAGUCCUUAUGGGUGGAAGAGCUGAGGAAGCUCUAGGGUUUCUUUUUUUUAGGACACUAAUCCCAUUCACAAGGGUUUUACCUGCAUGACUUAAUCACUUCCCAAAGUCCCCAUCUCCAAAUAUCAUCACUUUGGGGAUGAGGUUUAACAUAUGAAUUCUGGGAGCACAGAAACAUUGACUCCACAAAACAUAGUAUUUUAAUAUCUCUUUAACAUGUGUUUAUAACUAGUGAAAUAUGGGUGUAUAUACGUAUGAAUCAUAAUUAUUUGUAUAUAACUAUAAUUUAUUUUCAAUUUUCUGCUGAUUAUGUUAAUGUUCAACUGCACAUUGUAACACAUCAUACUGUGAAAUGAGAUACAAAAUAAAACAAC
rnacentral:lncRNA from 10 species